rnacentral:rRNA from 1 species
AAUUUUAGGUGUGCCCUGCCCGGUGAUUAUUUAACGGCCGCAGUACUCUGACUGUGCUAAGGUAGCAUAAUAAUUUGUCUUUUAAUUAAAGACUGGAAUAAAUGGGUGUUUUAAUGGGAUCUGUCUCACUUAGAUAUUAGAUUUAAUUUACUUAGAAGGUGAAAAUACCUUCAAAUUUCUANUUAGACGAGAAGACCCUUAGAGUUUAAUAUAUAUUUUGUUGGGGCGACAUGGAAAAAAUCAGCNUUUCCAUUUAUUAUUGUAUAUAUCAAUUCGAUUUUAAUAAAUAAACUACCUAAGGGAUAACAGCAUAAUUUUUUUUUAAGGUUAUGACCUCGAUGUUGGAUUAAGGACUUAUAUACUAACAGUUUAAUAAUGAUUGUUCUGUUCGAACA